rnacentral:rRNA from 1 species
UACAGAGGUCUCAAGCGUUGUUCGGAUUCAUUGGGCGUAAAGGGUGCGUAGGCGGCGCGGUAAGUCGGAUGUGAAAUCUCGGAGCUUAACUUCGAAACUGCAUUCGAUACUGCCGUGCUUGAGGACUGGAGAGGAGACUGGAAUUUACGGUGUAGCGGUGAAAUGCGUAGAUAUCGUAAGGAAGACCAGUGGCGAAGGCGGGGUCUCUGGACAGUUCCUGACGCUGAGGCACGAAGGUCAGGGGAGCAAACGGG